rnacentral:rRNA from 1 species
UACGUAGGGGGCUAGCGUUGUCCGGAUUUAUUGGGCGUAAAGAGCGUGUAGGCGGCCAGGUAGGUCUGCUGUGAAAACUCGAGGCUUAACCUCGAGAUGUCGGCGGAAACCAUCUGGCUAGAGUCCGGAAGAGGAGAGUGGAAUUCCUGGUGUAGCGGUGAAAUGCGCAGAUAUCAGGAAGAACACCAAUGGCGAAAGCAGCUCUCUGGGACGGUACUGACGCUGAGACGCGAAAGCGUGGGGAGCGAACCGG